GGAUUUCUGUUGAGGGCGUCCGGUACGCAUUUCGUGCGUUAUCUGGCUCGGUCUUGGCAUCCUCUUGGGGAACGUCGCAAUCUUGAUUGAUCGUGGCGGAAUUCAGACUUUUACUUUGAGGAAAUUAGAGUGUUCACGGCAAGCAAGUGCUUUGAAUACAUUAGCAUGGAAUAAUGAUAUAGGACCUUUGUUCUAUUUUGUUGGUUUCUAGAACUAAGGUAAUGAUUAAUAGGGACAAUUGGGGGACAUUCGUAUUAACGACGUCAGAGGUGGAAUUCUUGGAUUGCGUUACGACGAACUACUGCGAAAGCAUUUGCCAAGGAUGUUUUCAUUGAUCAAGAACGAAAGUAUGGG
rnacentral:rRNA from 1 species